UACGUAGGGGGCAAGCGUUGUCCGGAUUUAUUGGGCGUAAAGAGCGUGUAGGCGGCUUGGUAGGUCCGCUGUGAAAACUCGAGGCUCAACCUCGAGAUGUCGGCGGAAACCACUUGGCUAGAGUCCGGAAGAGGAGAGUGGAAUUCCCGGUGUAGCGGUGAAAUGCGCAGAUAUCGGGAAGGACACCUAUGGCGAAGGCAGCUCUCUGGGACGGUACUGACGCUGAGACGCGAAAGCGUGGGGAGCGAACAGG
rnacentral:rRNA from 1 species